CAAACGAUCCUCUUCAUCUCUUCAACCAUCGUCCGUCACCUCACCACCACCACGCCCAUAUCCCACAAAACCCGCUACCUACACCCCUCUUGUCCUUCCUCACACUCCAUCUCUGAAGCUUGCAGGCUCCAUGUGCAAUUUCAGCAGAUUUCAUGGGUAAGUCCCGUCACCCCUUUCACCAUCUCAUCUGUUGAAAACGUCCAUCUUUCCCCCCUCUUUAAUUCGAAAUUUAAAGGCAAAAGCCUCUGGAGGAAGUUGUUAAAACCCCCUCAGUGUUUACCUAUAAAUACAGGCCUUCCUGGGCUGUUUUAGACAAGUUUCAAGUGUAGAAAAUCCCAUUUAAGUUAACAAAGUUUUAGAGGCUGAAAAUUCCCCUUUGAACAAGGCUUUUAUUGAGAGAAUAUCUCUUUCAAAGCUUUCAUACUCAGAAAAAUCUUCUUUCAACUCUAAGUUUUUUUUUUUUUUUUUUGGUUAUCGAAAUCUUCUUUCAAGUUCUCGGCUGAGCAAGGACUGUUGGAGCGGAUUCGGAGACUCGACGACGACAAUAGCUUCAGUUCACUGUCACAAAGAAGGAACCUUGGGAGCAUUUGGAGUUAUGGCAACUCCGGAUUCUGCCCAUAUCAGAGAACAGCCAGUUGCAAGAUUUAAUUGCUCGUGUCUAGCAUCCCCGUCUUCCUCCUCUCUUUAAAUUUCGUGCCUUUCGCGUUAUCACGUAUAUACAUGUUUAUAUUCUUGACUAGCAUUUUUAUGGAUUGUAUUUGUAGCACAUUUGUUUCUCGCUUGUGUAGGAACUUAUGGAAAAAUAGUUAAGUAUGAUGGUAAAUCUUGGCUUAGGCGUGUUAGAAAUGAUAAUCGCUCAUGUUUUUUGUC